UACGUAGGGGCCGAGCGUUGUCCGGAGUUAUUGGGCGUAAAGCGCGCGCAGGCGGCUUCGCGCGCCCGACGUGAAAGCCCCCGGCUUAACCGGGGAGAGUCGUUGGGGACGGCGGAGCUUGAGGGCGGGAGAGGUCGGUGGAAUUCCCGGUGUAGUGGUGAAAUGCGUAGAGAUCGGGAGGAACACCUGUGGCGAAGGGGGCCGACUGGGCCGACCCUGACGCUGAGGCGCGAAGGCGUGGGGAGCGAACGGG
rnacentral:rRNA from 1 species